rnacentral:rRNA from 1 species
UACAGAGGGGGCAAGCGUUGUUCGGAAUUACUGGGCGUAAAGGGCGCGUAGGCGGCCUUCUAAGUCGAACGUGAAAUCCCUGGGCUCAACCCAGGAACUCCGUCCGAUACUGGAAGGCUUGAAUCCGGGAGAGGGAUGCGGAAUUCCAGGUGUAGCGGUGAAAUGCGUAGAUAUCUGUAGGAACACCGGUGGCGAAGGCGGCAUCCUGGACCGGUAUUGACGCUGAGGCGCGAAAGCCAGGGGAGCAAACGGG